rnacentral:misc_RNA from 1 species
UACAGAGGGUGCAAGCGUUAUCCGGAUUUACUGGGCGUAAAGCGUUUCGUAGGCGUUUUAAUAAGUCGUGCUUUAAAUACCAGAGCUCAACUUUGGGAAGGGGCACGAUACUGUUAGGAUUGAAAGAUUUCGGGGCUACUGGAACUCUCGGUGUAGGGGUGAAAUCCGUUGAUAUCGAGAGGAACACCAAGGGCGAAGGCGGGUAGCUAGGAAUUCUUUGACGCUGAGGAACGACAGCUGGGGUAGCGAAAGGG